CUCCUAGGUAACACUCAGAUAAAGGCCUCAGGAGGUGAGGAGGCAAAGUCAUCUAAGGUGGUGUCAAGGAAGAAAAGAACUUUGUCAUCCGAAGAGGACCAAAUGAAGACCUCUCAAGAGGAGGAGGCAGCAUCAUCAUUAGCUAAGUUUUGCCUGAGGAGGAGCAGAGUGUACCAGAGGAGGAAGUAGGUCCAUC